ensembl:lncRNA
GUGAGUGCGAUGCUAUAACCUCCUUAGAGUGGGGCUGGGCAAGGAAGGAAUUUUGUUUAGCUUAUGAAAUGUAUCAUUUUCAUUUGUUUCAUAAUCCUCGAGGGUCGUUAGUAACCCUCUUCAUGUCACCAAAUAGGAGCGUAUUUUCAGGAACUCUAGCAAUAGAUGAGCAAGUCUCCAAUUAAUUUUUUUCCCACAUCAACCCUAACAAUUGCAAAUGCCAACAGUCUACAGUAGGUUGUGUAUUAGAAACAGAAAUCAAUUUUUAGCUUGCGAGGAAUUGAGUGCAAAGAAUAAGAUGUUUAAAACUGUUGGAGGGCUCGGGGGAGCGGAGUGUAGACUGACUGGCAGGGAAACUACUGAUUCUUCCUGGGUUGGCGAGGUGAGGAUUCAGAAGGCUGCCUUCGGAAAACUAAGAAGACCACAGCAGUACUACUGGCAGUCCGGGAAUCCCGAAUCCACAACUACCAUAGCCAACUCUUAACACACUUGACGCUGGUGGUUUAGAUCCCCAGAAACAUGGAAUCCAGUUGCUGCCUGCUCUGCCACUGCUCCUUAACCCAAAGCUGGAGACAAGACACCAAAAUAAGGCUGCAGAAAGACACAAUGAGAAACUGUGACCUAGCUUGCUGGCAGAAAAUAGCAAACAGCAAGAUGACCUCCACCUACUAAGUAUUAGAGUGAAAAAGAUGAAAGAAAUAUCGAAGGCUUUCAAAUUAUUUGAUGAUGAUGACACUGGAAGCAUAACACUAAAUAAUAUAAGGAGGGUUUCCAAGGAACUAGGGGAAAAUUUAACAGACAAUGAACUUCAGGAAAUGUUCAAUGAAGCUGAUUGUGAUAAAGAUGGAGAAAUAAAUGGGAAGAAUUUUUGAGAAUAAUGAAAAAGAUCAUUCUUUAUUAAUACAGUUUUACAUGCCUUCUGGAACACUG